UACGUAGGGGGCAAGCGUUGUCCGGAUUUAUUGGGCGUAAAGAGCUCGUAGGCGGUUCGGCAAGUCGAAUGUGAAAUCUCCACGCUCAACGUGGAGGGGUCAUUCGAUACUGCUGUGACUCGAGUCCGGUAGGGGAGUGUGGAAUUCCCGGUGUAGCGGUGAAAUGCGCAGAUAUCAGGAGGAACACCGAUGGCGAAGGCAGCUCGCUGGGACGGUACUGACGCUGAGGCGCGAAAGCGUGGGGAGCAAACAGG
rnacentral:rRNA from 1 species